AACAAGUUGAUGACAACCCCUUUUGACAUACAAUAUAUGUUGACAUUAACUUCCUUAGAUGUCUGAAAUA
ensembl:snoRNA snoRNA:Me18S-C419